GGUUCUUAAAGUCAUCAGAUUCUUGGAACGGAUUCUCAAGAACUCCAUGUCUUUUGACCCACUCUAGAGUGCCAACAGAAAUCCUUUUAUCAUCAAUAUACCCUACAGCACCAGAUCCAGGCUCCUCCAUGAACGUUCCAUCCAAAACCUUCAAUUUUGGAGAUUUUGCUGUCUGAGCAGCCUCUAUAAUUGCUUUUCCAAUUGGAUGAUUGGUAUUUGAUUCAACUCCAGCAGCAAACUUCAGAAUAUCAACUUCUGACCACUGACAAGGUGAAGUCGAAUCUUGUCUUGCAUCUACAUCUUCUUGA
rnacentral:misc_RNA from 1 species